rnacentral:tRNA from 1 species
AGGGAUAUAGCUCAGUUGGUAGAGUGCUUGCCUCGCAUGCAUGAGGCCCUGGGUUCAAUCCCUGUGCACUCA